CAUGCAGUCGAGCGGUAAGGCCCUUCGGGGUACACGAGCGGCGAACGGGUGAGUAACACGUGAGCAACCUGCCCCUGACUCCGGGAUAAGCGGUGGAAACGCCGUCUAAUACCGGAUACGACCCUCCUCCUCCUGGUGGGGGGUGGAAAGUUUUUCGGUUGGGGAUGGGCUCGCGGCCUAUCAGCUGGUUGGUGGGGUAACGGCCUACCAAGGCGAUUACGGGUAGCCGGCCUGAGAGGGCGACCGGCCACACUGGGACUGAGACACGGCCCAGACUCCUGCGGGAGGCAGCAGUGGGGAAUAUUGCGCAAUGGGCGAAAGCCUGACGCAGCGACGCCGCGUGGGGGAUGACGGCCUUCGGGUUGUAAACCUCUUUUACCACCAACGCAGGCCCCCGGUUUUCCGGGGGUUGACGGUAGGUGGGGAAUAAGGACCGGCUAACUACGUGCCAGCAGCCGCGGUAAUACGUAGGGUCCGAGCGUUGUCCGGAAUUAUUGGGCGUAAAGAGCUCGUAGGCGGCGUGUCGCGUCUGCUGUGAAAGACCGGGGCUUAACUCCGGUUCUGCAGUGGAUACGGGCAUGCUCGAGGUAGGUAGGGGAGACUGGAAUUCCUGGUGUAGCGGUGAAAUGCGCAGAUAUCAGGAGGAACACCGGUGGCGAAGGCGGGUCUCUGGGCCUUACCUGACGCUGAGGAGCGAAAGCAUGGGGAGCGAACAGGAUUAGAUACCCUGGUAGUCCAUGCCGUAAACGUUGGGCGCUAGGUGUGGGGACUUUCCACGGUUUCCGCGCCGUAGCUAACGCAUUAAGCGCCCCGCCUGGGGAGUACGGCCGCAAGGCUAAAACUCAAAGG
rnacentral:rRNA from 1 species